AUUGAACGCUGGCGGCAGGCCUAACACAUGCAAGUCGAACGGAGUGGCGGACGGGUGAGUAAUGUCUGGGAAACUGCCCGAUGGAGGGGGAUAACGUCCGGAAGAGGGGGCUAAUACCGCAUACUAUCAGAUGAGCCUAGGUGGGAUUAGAUAGUUGGUGGGGUAAAGGCCUACCAAGGCGACGAUCCCUAACUGGUCUGAGAGGAUGAUCAGCCCCACUGGAACUGAGACACGGUCCAGACUCCUACGGGAGGCAGCAGUGGGGAAUAUUGUACAAUGGGCGCAAGCCUGAUCCAGCCAUGCCGCGUGUGUGAAGAAGGUCUUCGGAUUGUAAAGCACUUUCAGUUGGGAGGCGUUACCAACAGAAUAAGCACCGGCUAACUUCGUGCCAGCCGCCGCGGUAAUUC
rnacentral:rRNA from 1 species